AUGAAACCCUAUGUUUUCUACAUCGUCAUUAUCAUGUUCAUCGCUGUAGUUGUCGUUAUCAUCAUCAUCAUUGUUGUUAUUAUCUCCUUCACUGUCGUCGUCACGCAUAGGAUCAUGGCCUUGUGGUCCAUUAUUAUCGUCAUCAUCUGCUGCAUUAUUAUGAUUUUGUGCUACACGGAUGGGAGUGAUGAUGAUGGAGUGGAAAGUGACGGUGAAUUGGAGGUGGGUAUUGUUGAUGUUGAAGUCAUAGAGAGUGAUGUUGAAGGGGUAACUUAUUUUGUUAUGUAAUAGGCUUGUGUUGGAAUCAUAAGGAGGAUUAUAGUUAUAGAUUAAAAGAGUGUCUUGUAGCGGCGCUGCUGGUG
rnacentral:lncRNA from 1 species